AGAGUUUGAUUCUGGCUCAGAACGAACGCUGGCGGCGUGCCUAAUACAUGCAAGUCGAACGAGAAAGCUCUUUCGGGAGUGAGUAAAGUGGCGCACGGGUGAGUAACACGUUGGUAAUCUACCCUGAAGACCGGGACAACAUUUCGAAAGAAGUGCUAAUCCCGGAUGUGACCAGGAGCUCUGCGGAGCAUCUGGAGAAAGGAGGGGGACCUUAGGGCCUCUCGCUUUGGGAUGAGCCUGCGCACCAUUAGCUUGUAGGUAGGGUAACGGCCUACCAAGGCUGCGAUGGUUAGCUGGUCUGAGAGGAUGACCAGCCACACUGGAACUGAGACACGGUCCAGACCCCUACGGGAGGCAGCAGUAGGGAAUAUUGGACAAUGGGGGAAACCCUGAUCCAGCGACGCCGCGUGAGUGAUGAAGGCCUUCGGGUCGUAAAGCUCUGUCGGAGGGAAAGAAAUGCAACAUGGUUAAUAACCAUGGUGCUUGACGGUACCUUCCAAGAAAGCACCGGCUAAUUCCGUGCCAGCAGCCGCGGUAAUACGGGGGGUGCAAGCGUUGUUCGGAAUCACUGGGCGUAAAGAGCAUGUAGGUGGUCUGGUAUGUCGGAUGUGAAAGCCCUUGGCUUAACCGAGGAAGUGCAUCCGAAACUGCCAAACUAGAGUAUUGGAGAGGGAAGCGGAAUUCCUAGUGUAGAGGUGAAAUUCGUAGAGAUUAGGAGGAACACCGGUGGCGAAAGCGGCUUCCUGGCCAUAUACUGACACUCAGAUGCGAAAGCGUGGGGAGCAAACAGGAUUAGAUACCCUGGUAGUCCACGCCGUAAACGAUGGACACUUGGCGUUGGAGGCUUUGACCCCUUCAGUGCCGGAGCUAACGUGUUAAGUGUCCCGCCUGGGGAGUACGGUCGCAAGAUUAAAACUCAAAGAAAUUGACGGGGGCCCGCACAAGCGGUGGAGCAUGUGGUUCAAUUCGAUCAACGCGAAAAACCUUACCUGGGUUUGGCAUCCCCGGACAACCCUAGAAAUAGGGCCUUUCCUUCGGGAACCGGGUGACAGGUGCUGCAUGGCUGUCGUCAGCUCGUGUCGUGAGAUGUUGGGUUAAGUCCCGCAACGAGCGCAACCCCUGCCUUUAGUUGCCAUCAUUAAGUUGGGCACUCUAGAGGGACUACCAGUGUUAAACUGGGGGAAGGUGGGGAUGACGUCAAGUCCUCAUGGCCUUUAUAUCCAGGGCUACACACGUGCUACAAUGGCCGGUACAAAGGGUUAUGCCUUCGGGCUGCAAUACUGUGAAGUUGAGCGAAUCCCAAAAAACCGGUCUCAGUUCGGAUUGGAGUCUGCGACUCGACUCCAUGAAGGUGGAAUCGCUAGUAAUCGUGGAUCAGAACGCCACGGUGAAUACGUUCCCGGGCCUUGUACACACCGCCCGUCACACCAUGAAAGUCAGUUGUACCAGAAGUCGUUGAGCUAACCUUCGGGAGGCAGGCGCCCAAGGUAUGAUUGAUGAUUGGGGUGAAGUCGAAACAAGGUA
rnacentral:rRNA from 1 species